rnacentral:rRNA from 1 species
CCGCUCUACUUUGCAAGUCGACCGGGCGAGGUUGCUUCGGUAACUGAGCUAGCGGCGGACGGGUGAGUAAUGCUUAGGAAUCUGCACUAUUAGUGGGGGACAACAUUCCGAAAGGAAUGCUAAUACCGCAUACGCCCUACGGGGGAAAGCAGGGGAUCUUCGGACCUUGCGCUAAUAGAUGAGCCUAAGUCACGAUUAGCCAGUUGGUGGGGUAAAGGCCUACCAAGGCGACGAUCUGUAGCGGGUCUGAGAGGAUGAUCCGCCACACUGGGACUGAGACACGGCCCAGACUCCUACGGGAGGCAGCAGUGGGGAAUAUUGGACAAUGGGCGCAAGCCUGAUCCAGCCAUGCCGCGUGUGUGAAGAAGGCCUUUUGGUUGUAAAGCACUUUAAGCGAGGAGGAGGCUACUUGGAUUAAUACUCUAGGAUAGUGGACGUUACUCGCAGAAUAAGCACCGGCUAACUCUGUGCCAGCAGCCGCGGUAAUACAGAGGGUGCGAGCGUUAAUCGGAUUUACUGGCCGUAAAGCCGUGCGUAGGCCGCUUUUAAAGUCGGAUGUGAA